rnacentral:rRNA from 1 species
AGUGAACGCUGGCGGCAGGCCUAACACAUGCCAGUCGAGCGGAUGAGGGGAGCUUGCUCCCUGAUUUAGCGGCGGACGGGUGAGUAAUGCCUAGGAAUCUGCCUGGCAGUUGGGGAUAACGUUCCGAAAGGAACGCUAAUACCGCAUACGUCCUACCGGAGAAAGCAGGGGACCUUCGGGCCUUGCGCUAUCGGAUGAGCCUAGGUCGGAUUAGCUAGUUGGUGAGGUAAUGGCUCACCAAGGCGACGAUCCGUAACUGGUCUGAGAGGAUGAUCCGUCACACUGGAAAGGAGACACGGUCAAGACUCCUACGGGAGGCAGCAGUGGGGAAUAGUGGACAAUGGGCGAAAGCCUGAUCCAGCCAUGCCGCGUGUGUGAAGAAGGUCGGCGGAUUGUAAAGCACUUUAAGUUGGGAGGAAGGGCUGCUGGUUAAUACGCUGCAGUGUUGACGUUAAAAACAGAAUAAGCACCGGCUAACUUC